GCGGCUUCCUAGCGAGUCGGAGGGAGGCUGAGACUACGUUCCAGGUUACAGAAAACCCAACUCAAUCUAUCUGAAGCAAGAAAGGGGAAUUAGUGGCGUAUAGACUGGCUCCAGGUACUCAGAACUCUGCCCGCUGUUCUCUGGCCACUCAGGAGCCAUGGAGGUGGCAGAGCCCAGCAGCCCCACCGAGGAAGAAGAGGAGGAGGAGGAGGAAAAGCAGUCAGUGGAGCCAAGGCCCCGUACACGCUCCAACCCUGAGGAGGCUGAGGACCGGGCAGUGGGGGCCCAGACCAGCGUGGGAAGCCGAAGUGAGGGUGAGGGCGAGGCAGCCAGUGCGGAUGAUGGGACCUCGAAUGCUCUGGGAGCUGGCCCCAAGCCCUGGCAGGUGCCCCCACCAGUCCCUGAGGUCCAGGUAUGGACACCAAGGGUCAACUGUCCAGAGAAGGUGAUCAUCUGCCUGGACCUGUCAGAGGAAAUGUCACUGCCAAAAUUGGAGUCAUUCAACGGCUCCAAAACCAAUGCCCUCAAUGUCUCCCAGAAGAUGAUUGAGAUGUUUGUGCGGACAAAACACAAGAUUGACAAAAGCCAUGAGUUUGCACUGGUGGUGGUGAACGAUGACACUGCCUGGCUAUCUGGACUGACCUCCAACCCCCGUGAGCUCUGCAGCUGCCUCUACGACCUAGAGACGGCCUCCUGCUCCAACUUCAAUAUGGAAGGUCUCUUCAGCCUCAUUCAACAGAAGACAGAGCUGCCAGUCACG